GAUGAACGCUGGCGGCGUGCCUAAUACAUGCAAGUCGAGCGAACGGACGAGAAGCUUGCUUCUCUGAUGUUAGCGGCGGACGGGUGAGUAACACGUGGAUAACCUACCUAUAAGACUGGGAUAACUUCGGGAAACCGUAGCUAAUACCGGAUAAUAUUUUGAACCGCAUGGUUCAAAAGUGAAAGACGGUCCUGCUGUCACUUAUAGAUGGAUCCGCGCUGCAUUAGCUAGUUGGUAAGGUAACGGCUUACCAAGGCAACGAUGCAUAGCCGACCUGAGAGGGUGAUCGGCCACACUGGAACUGAGACACGGUCCAGACUCCUACGGGAGGCAGCAGUAGGGAAUCUUCCGCAAUGGGCGAAAGCCUGACGGAGCAACGCCGCGUGAGUGAUGAAGGUCUUCGGAUCGUAAAACUCUGUUAUUAGGGAAGAACAUAUGUGUAAGUAACUGUGCACAGCUUGACGGUACCUAAUCAGAAAGCCACGGCUAACUACGUG
rnacentral:rRNA from 1 species